UAGCUCCUAUGCCCAACAGAAACCAGGUGCACAGAUCUUUCCACUUUGGGCCUAGGAGGCAGAGGGUUGUAAACAGCCAGAGGUCCAGUUUUCAGACCCGAGGUCAUUUUCUGACACUGCUCAACAGCAAUCUUAUAGUACCGGGGGAUAUGGGAGACAAGAGCUCGGCCCCACUCUGCAAGGGAGAGAGGCUGCCAGGAGCCAGGAUGACUCCAUAGGCUGCCUUGGGGAAGAAGCAGAACCCCACUGGAAAUUGGACUGUCCAACUCACCUGGAAGCCACUCCCAGAGCCCCUGGAACUCUGGCAUAAGACUCUCUGACUGACUCCUUCCAAGAUCUUCUCAGCUUAGCAGCUGAAGACUGACGCUGCCCAAUUGCCUUGGAAGCCCCCUGGACCAUCACAGAUGUUUUGGGUAACUCUUACAGUGGAGGACAGGAAUGUCAGGCCUGUGAGCCCAAGCUAAGCCAUCAUAUCCCCAGUGACCUGCAUGUAUACAUCCAGAUGGCCUGAAGCAACUGAAGAUCCACGAAAGAAGUGAAAAGCCUUAACUGAUGACAUUCCAUCAUUGUGAUUUGUUCCUGCCCCACCCUAACUGAUCAAUGUACUUUGUAAUCUCCCCCACCCUUGAGAAAGUUCUUUGUAAUUCUCCCCACCCUUGAGAAUGUACUUUGUGAGAUCCACUCCCUGCCUGCAAAACAUUGCUCCUAACUCCACCGUUUAUCCCAAAACCUAUAAGAACUAAUGAUAAUCCACCACCCUUUGCUGACUCCUUUUUUGGACUCAGCCCGCCCGCACCCAGGUGAAAUAAACAGCCUUGUUGCUCACACAAAGCCUGUUUGGUGGUCUCUUCAUAUGGACAUGAGAGACAAUAAGAGCUCUGAGGCCUGCUACCUGAAGGUUUCAUAUGCAUGAUAAAGCCUUGAUCUCCACAACCCCUUAUCUUAACCCAGACCUUCCUUUGUAUUGAUUCCAGGUCUUUAGAUAAUAAACUCCUUCUCUUUUUGGUAGAAGAUAGCUUAAAAAACACACACUCCAAAAAACUUCUUUCAACCAAUUGUCAGUUAGAAAAUCUUUGAAUCCACCUAUGACCUGGAAGGAACCACCCCUCGCCCCCUCUAGUUGUCCCACCUUUCCUGACCGAACCAAUGUACAUCUUACAUGUAUUGAAUGAUGUCUUAUGUUUCCCUGAAAUGUAUAAAACCCAGCUGUAGCCCAACUAUCCUGGGCACAUGUUCUCUAGAUCUCCUGCGGCUGUCUCAUGGGCCAUUGGUCACUCAUA